UGGGGCAUGGUCACGGGGGUUCAAAUGUGGAGGAAAAGAAGAGGGAAAAAGUUUCUGAGGAGGAAAAGUUGGAGCCUUUGUGGGAUGAUGGAUAUGGAACUCAAAGUGUGAAGGAUUAUCUUGAUUUAGCCAAAGAGAUUAUUAAACCUGAUGGGGGGCCACCGAGGUGGUUCACCCCAAUCUCUUGUGGGCCGCCUUUAAAGGAUUCACCAAUUCUUCUGUUCUUACCAGGUAUAAUUAUUUGGUGCUCAAUUGUAAAGUUAUUUAUUUGUAGAUUAAGACCGAUACUACUCUGCUAUACGAGUGAACUUGGCUUUCCAACAUAAGAAAUUAUUCCGGUAAUUCCGAGCAUAAUCUUUAUUGUAUAGAAGCUUUAAAUGUGUAAGGCCAUUUUUUAGUUUUAAUUCGUUUUUACUUAUUGUGCAGGAAUGGAUGGUCUUGGACUUGGCCUCAUUCUUCAUCACAAGUCUCUUGGCAAGUAAGUCUCAGAUAAAACUCUGCUGAAAUCAGAUCAGACUUCACUUCUAAUCACAAUAUUUUCAUGAGACCCACAAUAUUUAUUAAUUUUUCAACUACAUAUAUUAUGGAAUUUGUUAAAGUUUUGUCUAACUACCCCUUCAUGUUUCUGUACAAUUUUUUCCUGAAAAGAAGAGGAAGAUCUCUUAAAUAAGUUAAUAAUUAGAUACUUAAUGGCUAUCUUUAUAGGAUAAAUAUAUAUGUACCGAAAAUAGGAUACCGAAUUGAUGCCCUACUCUCAUGUGUGCGCGGGCCUCGCGUGCAUUUAAAAAUUUCAGCUUGUGGGGCCCGCCCUCCUAUUAUGAGUGUAGGUAAAAGAUUCAAUAAAAAAAUGUGUAGGUAAAUAUAGCAUUGUCCAUCUUUAUGAGUUAGGCCCGUGUGCAUUUAAAAAUUUCGAUUUGUGGGACCCGCUCUCCUAUUAUGAGUGUAGAAAAAAGAUUCAGUAAAAAUGUGUAGAUAAAUGUAGCAUUGUCCAUCUUUAUGAGUUAGGCUGAGCAAAAUACACGCGCCCAUCUAUUAUUAAACGUUAAGAAAACAAAUGGUGUCUCAAUCAAGCUAGAAAGUACGUAUAAUUAUUUAAAAGAAGCAAGUAGCAAAAUCCUAUUCGAAAACUUGGUGUCUUCAUCAAAUUUUGCUACUUGUACUGUUGUACAUGAAAAUCCUAUUUAAAAACAUGAUGUCUUCAUCAAUUAGUAAAGGUGACUGGCCCAGGCCCUCUUGUAAAGUUGUAUUCCCUAGCUACGUACGUCACACGUCUUAAAGAUAAUUUUUACUAUCGAAUAAACUUUAGUUUUUUAACACAAUUAAACAAGUUGUUUUUUUCUUUUAAAAAUCUACUGAUGUAUUGUUUUGAUAAAUUUAAUAAUUUAAUUAUUUAAAACUUUCUUAUUUACUUGUAAUUAUUUUUUCCCCACAAUAUUAGUUAGUUGACUAAAAGUUUUAGAAAACGAGCAAAUUAAUCCUCAAUCUUUCUUUACAAUUGCAAUCCAUAAUGAUGUCCCCAGUCCCAUUAGGAAAUUUUGGGAGGCGGAGGCGGGUAUUAAAAUAUAUUUCAUCCUACCCUUUUUUUCAUUUCUCUUUUUUUUGAUACAAUUAAAUUAAAAAGUAAAAAAUAAAAGGAUUCCCCAUCCUCAUCUUGGUGCCCAGCUGAGCAGGGAAUCCUUGCCCAAUCAGGCGGGAGGUGAAGUAGACUCUAGAGUCAUGACUUUUUCCCAUCUCCACUAAACAAAUAAUUGUCUAGAACUUAAAAAUUGUAAUGCAAACUUGAUCUAUACAUGUUACAUUUCACUUUUUUUUUUAAUAUACUCAGGUGUCCACCUUACAACGACUAAUACUGAGAUCUAUAAUCCAGUCCCUCUUCACGCAGACCAGGUAAACCGCGGGUUGUGCCCCAAACUAGCCAGGGUUCAAGAGCCCCUCCAACUGAACUGUCAAAGUGUCGAGCGAGUCAAACUCAUGUACACGUCUUGCCUUUCAAAGAACUCAUAUCUUCGAGGAAAUAUCCUGCCUUCCAAGAGAAAGUCUUGCCUUUCAAGAGCCCUAUGAAUCGAACCCGCAACCUUUGAAUUGCCUUGAAGAACUCCAUCCCUUGCCAGUUGGGAUGUGCCUCGGGGGCUACAUUUCAUAUUUCUAAACGUUAGUCUAAUUGCUUGCUUGACUGUUCUUACAUAAGGAUGGGGCUAUGAAUUAAAAUUUCAUUCCUGCCUUGUUGGAGAUUUCAAGAAACCGAGAAGAAGAGGGGAUUAUAAUAAAUUCAGUUAUCGAUCUUUUUAUUUUUAUAUUUUAAUAUAUAUAUUUUUAUUUUUUCAAUACGACUCCAAUUGAAAACAUAAAAAAUAAUAUGAAAAGAAUCGAGGCUGGGGAAUUUCCGUCAAUACUUAAGAGUUGCAUUUUCAAAAAAUAGAUCGAAUGUGAGUCACAAUUAUUAAAUGGAGCCCACGUAUUGCUUAUUUUAAGGGAUCGUGAGGGGGCUCACUACGAAUAAAAAUAUUCGUGGUUAACCCCCUCGCAUGUGAGGGACUGUUAAGUUCCAUGACUCUUAUUUUAAACCACAAAGAGUAUUACGUCUUGAGAACGUUUAAGUUAAAUUUUAGAGACGGUUUAUAUAGACCUUUCUAGAGAUUUAUAAUAACGUCGAAUGCACCUCGUCCUCUCAAGAAUUGUAGAAACCUCCCCACUUGGCAUAAACUUCCAACUUUGUCAUACUCUCUUAUGCAAUACAUAAAAUUGUACUUAUUUUCUUGUUUGUCUAUUUCUUAAUUUUAAUUAAGCAAAAACAAAUUGUUUUAGUUUCAAUUUCAUUUUUUUUUUAAUCUUUUGUACAUAGUGAUUUUAUCUUAUUCAUAAUAAAAUUACUUUCUUUUUAAAAAAUUGAUCAAACUAAAAUUUAUGUAAAUAUUUGCAGAAAAAAGAACUAAAAAGAAAUAUAAGCUUUAAGGCUUUAAUGCAUUUUUUUUUUUUUUUUAACGUUCAGGAUAAUAUCAUUUUAAUUUCCCAAACUAGAAUAAAUGUGAAGAUUAUAAAAAUAUGAAAUACUAAAAAUUGUUAAUAUACUAAGCCUUUGUUUGGGUUUCAUUUUCUCAAAACUCGUUUUCAAUCAUAUAUUCUCUUAUAAAAUAAUGUUACACGUAAAUAUAAAUUUUUUCUUAUUUCUCAAUUAUACAUUUAUCAAAAACUCAAUAUUUCAAAAUAUAUUUUUUCCAAAAAAAUUAUUUUAAUGGAAUUCAAAUAGGGACUAAUUAAAAAUAUUUAAUUUUAUUAAAUUAUUUUAAAAAAUUUAUUUAACUAUUGUUGAUAUGUUAGUUAUUUGUAAGAGUGUCUACGCGCCAAGGUCAAGGUCAAAAUCGACCUUGUCGAUGGGUUUUCUAGAAGCACUAUUGGGAAGGACGAAAUGAUGAUUAAAGUAUCCAUAUUUAACGCAUCAAUUAUUUAAUUAAUUAUUUAAAAAUAUCAAUUAGAUUUAAAAGACAUAAAAAUAAAUAAAAAGAGCCGAGGGCAAAAACGAAGAAUCAAGAAAGAGGAUCAUGUUUUCAAUUCCAAUCCCGAUUACCUAAAAGAGGCGAGGCAAUGUGCUCUGAGUAUUUUGUCUUUCCUAAUUAUUUGUCAAAAGUACGUUUAACAGUUUAAAUUAUAAUUUAAGCUUUGCCAACAUUUACAUAAGCACACCCAGUUCCGAGGAGGAAAAGACUAACUUUAAUUUCAACACACGAGGGCCACAAGACUACUAAACAAGGCUUUUUUUUUAAUCGAGUAAACAAAGGGUUAGUUGUUUUUAUAAUUAGGACUAACUGUACAGUUAGAAAGAAAGAUUAAAGAUCAACUUGCUCUGUUUUGAAGAUAAUAACCAAAUUGCUACUAUCACAAUAAAUUGGACACCAUUGAUGCAACUUUCUUCAAAAUUCUCAAGCUAAACCAUUGCCAAACGUCUCCUGCAAAAGCCUUUUUUACGAACAGAAAAAACAAAAAAUGAAAAUGGCAGGACAUGGAUAUCCACGUCACGUUCUUCCAAAGAGCGCCAAUUAUUCACCGUGUUCAUCGUUCUGUAUCCCAAUACAUGUCGGCCACGUGUUCAUAUCACUCUGCGCCGGUAAUUUUUUUACAGUAGUUUGUACUACAAAUUUAUAUUCAUGUUGUAUAUAUCAAUCUCUUCGUGAUUACAUUUGACUAUAUCCUCACUUGAUUCUCACGAUUUCAGUAAACCCAAUAAGCGCAACGUUGAAACAAAAUGACCCACAAAUUAGAUCUGUUGCUGUAUUUCUUGCAUGAUAGUUUGAAACUUUCCAUACGUUUCCUGUCUAUUCUGCUAACAGUAGUCAGUAGUGAUUAUUCAUGUGGGCUCCUCUUUAGGUACACGAUAUUUGUUCUUUUGUGGCUUGAAGCCUUUUUUGUUUCUAUAUAUAAUUCUUGAAUUUGGAAAGUCUGAGGCCACGGGGUUCAGAUUUACAUGGCUUCAAUUGUGAAAUGUUUCUGGGCAUCACCCCAUUUUGGUUUGAAUAUUAACGAGAAAUGUCGUUCUAGAUCUGGAAUUCAGUGUUUAGCUAGUGGGGAAUCGGCUGAUGCUGCAUUAUCUGUUGAAUCUGUUAAAGUGAAUGGGAUUGUUAAUGGAGUAUCAUCUUCUGUUGUGAAGGAAAAGAAGGAGAGUGAUAGGCUUAUGAUUGAGGUGGGGCAUGGUCACGGGGGUUCAAAUGUGGAGGAAAAGAAGAGGGAAAAAGUUUCUGAGGAGGAAAAGUUGGAGCCUUUGUGGGAUGAUGGAUAUGGAACUCAAAGUGUGAAGGAUUAUCUUGAUUUAGCCAAAGAGAUUAUUAAACCUGAUGGGGGGCCACCGAGGUGGUUCACCCCAAUCUCUUGUGGGCCGCCUUUAAAGGAUUCACCAAUUCUUCUGUUCUUACCAGGUAUAAUUAUUUGGUGCUCAAUUGUAAAGUUAUUUAUUUGUAGAUUAAGAC
rnacentral:lncRNA from 1 species